rnacentral:rRNA from 1 species
UACAGAGGGGCAAGCGUUGUUCGGAAUUACUGGGCGUAAAGGGCGCGUAGGCGGCCUUCUAAGUCGAACGUGAAAUCCCCGGGCUCAACCCGGGAACUGCGUCCGAUACUGGAAGGCUUGAAUCCGGGAGAGGGAUGCGGAAUUCCAGGUGAGCGGUGAAAUGUGUAGAUAUCUGGAGGAACACCGGUGGCGAAGGCGGCAUCCUGGACCGGUAUUGACGCUGAGGCGCGAAAGCCAGGGGAGCAACGG